UGGGGAAUUUUGGACAAUGGGCGAAAGCCUGAUCCAGCAAUGCCGCGUGUGUGAAGAAGGCCUUCGGGUUGUAAAGCACUUUUGUCCGGAAAGAAAUCCUUGGCUCUAAUACAGUCGGGGGAUGACGGUACCGGAAGAAUAAGCACCGGCUAACUACGUGCCAGCAGCCGCGGUAAUACGUAGGGUGCAAGCGUUAAUCGGAAUUACUGGGCGUAAAGCGUGCGCAGGCGGUUUGCUAAGACCGAUGUGAAAUCCCCGGGCUCAACCUGGGAACUGCAUUGGUGACUGGCAGGCUAGAGUAUGGCAGAGGGGGGUAGAAUUCCACGUGUAGCAGUGAAAUGCGUAGAGAUGUGGAGGAAUACCGAUGGCGAAGGCAGCCCCCCUGGGCCAAUACUGACGCUCAUGCACGAAAGCGUGGGGAGCAAACAGGAUUAGAUACCCUGGUAGUCCACGCCCUAAACGAUGUCAACUAGUUGUUGGGGAUUCAUUUCCUUAGUAACGUAGCUAACGCGUGAAGUUGACCGCCUGGGGGAGUACGGUCGCAAGAUUAAAACUCAAAUGAAUUGACGGGGUCAUAGCUGUUUCCU
rnacentral:rRNA from 1 species